rnacentral:rRNA from 1 species
GACGAACCGUGCGAACGUUGUUCGGAAUCACUGGGCUUAAAGGGCGCGUAGGCGGGCUCACAAGUCAGGGGUGAAAUCCCACGGCUCAACCGUGGAAGUGCCUUUGAUACUGUGGGCCUCGAGGGAGGUAGGGGCGUGCGGAACUUCCGGUGGAGCGGUGAAAUGCGUAGAUAUCGGAAGGAACACCGGUGGCGAAAGCGGCGCGCUGGACCUCUUCUGACGCUGAGGCGCGAAAGCCAGGGGAGCAAACGGG